rnacentral:rRNA from 1 species
UACGAAGGGGGCUAGCGUUGUUCGGAAUUACUGGGCGUAAAGCGUGCGCAGGCGGCUGCUCAAGUCAGGGGUGAAAGCCCAGAGCUCAACUCUGGAAUUGCCUUUGAGACUGAGUGGCUUGAGUACGGGAGAGGUGAGUGGAAUUCCCAGUGUAGAGGUGAAAUUCGUAGAUAUUGGGAAGAACACCGGUGGCGAAGGCGGCUCACUGGCCCGGUAACUGACGCUCAUGCACGACAGCGUGGGGAUCAAACAGG